UGGGGAAUAUUGGACAAUGGGCGGAAGCCUGAUCCAGCCAUGCCGCGUGUGUGAAGAAGGCCUUUUGGUUGUAAAGCACUUUAAGCGAGGAGGAGGCUACUUGGAUUAAUACUCUAGGAUAGUGGACGUUACUCGCAGAAUAAGCACCGGCUAACUCUGUGCCAGCAGCCGCGGUAAUACAGAGGGUGCGAGCGUUAAUCGGAUUUACUGGGCGUAAAGCGUGCGUAGGCGGCUUCUUAAGUCGGAUGUGAAAUCCCUGAGCUUAACUUAGGAAUUGCAUUCGAUACUGGGAAGCUAGAGUAUGGGAGAGGAUGGUAGAAUUCCAGGUGUAGCGGUGAAAUGCGUAGAGAUCUGGAGGAAUACCGAUGGCGAAGGCAGCCAUCUGGCCUAAUACUGACGCUGAUGUACGAAAGCAUGGGGAGCAAACAGG
rnacentral:rRNA from 1 species